rnacentral:rRNA from 1 species
AUUGAACGCUGGCGGCAGGCCUAACACAUGCAAGUCGAACGGUAACAGGAAGCAGCUUGCUGUUUUGCUGACGAGUGGCGGACGGGUGAGUAAUGUCUGGGAAACUGCCUGAUGGAGGGGGAUAACAGUUGGAAACGACUGCUAAUACCGCAUAAGCCCACGGGUCGGCAUCGACCAGAGGGAAAAGGAGCGAUCCGCUUUGAGAUGGCCUCGCGUCCGAUUAGCUAGUUGGUGAGGUAACGGCCCACCAAGGCGACGAUCGGUAGCCGGACUGAGAGGUUGAACGGCCACAUUGGGACUGAGACACGGCCCAGACUCCUACGGGAGGCAGCAGUGGGGAAUAUUGCACAAUGGGGGAAACCCUGAUGCAGCGACGCCGCGUGGAGGAAGAAGGUCUUCGGAUUGUAAACUCCUGUUGUUGAGGAAGAUAAUGACGGUACUCAACAAGGAAGUGACGGCUAACUACGUG